rnacentral:rRNA from 1 species
ACGGGAGUGGCAAGCGUUAUCCGGAAUCAUUGGGCGUAAAGCGUCCGCAGGUGGCUUUGUAAGUCUGCUGUUAAAGCGUGGAGCUUAACUCCAUUUCAGCGGUGGAAACUACAAAGCUUGAGUGUGGUAGGGGCAGAGGGAAUUCCCGGUGUAGCGGUGAAAUGCGUAGAUAUCGGGAAGAACACCAGUGGCGAAGGCGCUCUGCUGGGCCAUAACUGACACUCAUGGACGAAAGCCAGGGGAGCGAAAGGGAUUAGAUACCCCUGUAGUCCUGGCCGUAAACGAUGAACACUAGGUGUCGGGGGAAUCGACCCCCUCGGUGUCGUAGCCAACGCGUUAAGUGUUCCGCCUGGGGAGUACGAUCGCAAGAUUA